GUAGGGAAUAUUGCGCAAUGGACGAAAGUCUGACGCAGCGACGCCGCGUGAGUGAUGAAGGCCUUAGGGUCGUAAAGCUCUGUUGAAUGGGAAGAAAAAAAUGACGGUACCAUUCGAGGAAGGACCGGCUAACUUCGUGCCAGCAGCCGCGGUAAUACGAGGGGUCCUAGCGUUGUUCGGAAUCAUUGGGCGUAAAGGGUGUGUAGGUGGCCAUGUAAGUCAGGUGUGAAAGCCCCGGGCUCAACCCGGGAAGUGCACUUGAUACUGCGUGGCUUGAGUACCGAAGAGGGUAGUGGAAUUCCAGGUGUAGUGGUGAAAUACGUAGAUAUCUGGAGGAACACCGGUGGCGAAGGCGGGUAACUGGACGAACACUGACACUGAGGCCCGAAAGCGUGGGGAUCAAACAGGAUUAGAUACCCUUGUAGUCC
rnacentral:rRNA from 1 species